CAGUAUUGAUUUUGGUCUUUAUGCUGGUAUGUAUAGUCUAAGUAAUCAGCUUCCUGAAACUUUAUGGAGUAAUUAUUCUCCUAUUAAGGAAAUUUUGGGGCUUUUCCUGCUUUGUUCCUACACCAAAUAGUCUCACACAUGUGUCUAGGGUAUUUGGAAUUUGCUGGUUACAAUAUAUGUACAUAUUCAGCUUUUCUGAGGAGUGCUGGAUUAGCUUUCAAAGGGGUUAUACCAAUUUAUACUCUCUAGAAGAGUUUGUGUUUCCUUUCCACUAUUGCCCAACAAUUAGUAUCAGUUUCUUGAUUUUUUUUCAAUCUAGAGAAGUAUCUGUAGUGUUAGUUUUGCUUCUAGUAAAGUUGAGCGUUCCUUAUGUUUGGCUAUUCAGAUUUCAUUUAUUGGCUGUACAUAUUAACCCAUUUCUCUUUAAUGAUUUUUGAAAGAUUUUAUAUUCUCUCAGCUAAUCAUUGUUGUACAUAUUGCAGGUAUCUUCCAGUCAUUGUCCUAACUUUUCUUUUUGCAUAGAAGCUUUUUAAUGUAGUCAAGUACAGUACUCUGUCUGCAUGGCUUGCUUUUAUCUAAUAAGAUCUUCUCCCUUCUAGGGUUAUAAUGAUUCUUCAAGCUUCAUUUUUGUUUUUCAAGCUUGGCUGUUAAUGGCUCAAGUCAACCUCUAGCUAGUUAUUAUUCCAAUAUAGGGAUAAGUUGUCCCAGCAGUGGAAUGAGUACCUUGUGACAAAGUGCCACAGAGGAAUGAACUUUUGUUGUUGUAGGUCAUUCAGUGGUGCACCCACCACAAGGAUGACCCUCCUCCUCCUGAAGAUGAUGAGAACAAAGAAAAGCGAACAGAUGAUAUCCCUGUUUGGGACCAAGAAUUCCUGAAAGUUGACCAAGGAACACUUUUUGAACUCAUUCUGGCUGCAAACUACUUAGACAUCAAAGGUUUGCUUGAUGUUACAUGCAAGACUGUUGCCAAUAUGAUCAAGGGGAAAACUCCUGAGGAGAUUCGCAAGACCUUCAAUAUCAAAAAUGACUUUACUGAAGAGGAGGAAGCCCAGGUAGGUAGCACACAGUUUUGUCUUUGAUCACAUGCUCUUAAAAAGGGAGUAACACCUAUAACAUGCCAGCAAAAGAGGUGACUGUAUCAAGUAGUCUUGAUACUUUAGGGAUAAUAUGUACUUAAUGUGUCUUAAACAUACUCUUACUGUUCUGUCUUUAUGAAUCUGAACACUUAGAUGAUACUGCAUUUUAAGCAUAAGAACAAUUAGUUUUCAAUGAGAAGAGCUCUUGUUAAUGUAUUAACAGUUACUAGUUUUGGCACCUGCAACUUUCUGUAUAGACCAUACAUAUCUGACAUCAGAAAAGCAGGCCCUAGAGAGAAGUAUAUACUAGGGUACUUUAGAGCAACUUAAUGAGGGGAGGAAAUGAAAGAAUAGAUCAGAAUGAUUUUGUUGACAUGACUACAGACUGAAAUAAUGUGAAUGAAUUAACUGAAUUUGCUCUGUCAACUUUAGUAAAUUGCCCAUUGCCUUUGCUUUGUUCAUAAUUUCAGCAGGGCAGAAUAAAAACCAUGGGAGGCAAAGAAAGGAAAUCCGGAAAUAUAGUCUUAACCUGGUGUUGUUCUAAUUUUCCAUCUGUUCUUCUGACUCAACUCACUGGCUAUCGAUGAAUCAGUAGGUAGUAUUUAUAAGUCUUAGGAAAGACUACUCAAGUUAAGGUACUUCCCUAUAUCCAUCUCUUUUAGGUACGCAAAGAGAACCAGUGGUGUGAAGAGAAGUGAAAUGUUGUGCCUGACACUGUAACACUGUAAGGAUUGUUCCAAAUACUAGUUGCACUGCUCUGUUUAUAAUUGUUAAUAUUAGACAAACAGUAGACAAAUGCAGCAGCAAGUCAAUUGUAUUAGCAGAAUAUUGUCCUCAUUGCAUGUGUAGUUUGAGCACAGAUCCCAAACCUUACGGCCAAGUUUCUUCUAGUAUGAUGGAAAGUUUCUUUUUUCUUUGCUCUGAAUAAAACUGAACUGUGGGUUCUCUAUAAGUGGC
rnacentral:lncRNA from 10 species